GCCGGGGUGGCCGAGUGGUCAAAGGCGGCAGCCCCGAGAGCUGUUGGUCCUUCGGGCCUCGCGGGUUCGAAUCCCGUCCCCGGCG
rnacentral:tRNA from 1 species